CUGGGUUGUUGUGCCGUCUGUGUGUGUUAUGUUGGCGAUGUAGCGGAUAAAGCGAACGAAUAACGCGGCAGAGCAAGUAAUGAACCAUAGGACACGGCCGAGAUAAUGACACUGCGAUCAGCUUACCCAUCUUCAACACACAUGAUAGAUAGUGCAACUGUCACAGGAUAUCCGUGAAGCCUGACGCACUAUUCAAGAUUCUCGGUUUUUCUUACACAGCAAUUUGAGCCCAGGAAAGCAGAAUACCUCAGUCUGUUCGAGCUUGGUGUCUGAGAACGCCUUCGUGUUUUGGUGAGUACCAUGAGCAAUGUGAAUAUUUACAAUAGUGUAAGGGUCAGAGGCCAGGAACUUGACCAACACUCACUCACACACACACACACACACACACACACACACAC